rnacentral:lncRNA from 1 species
AUCUUGAAUAUUAUUAUUGAUAGAGAUAAACUUUAAACAACAAUUAUGUUCAGAAAAGUAACAUUUACAAAUAAGUCAACAUGACCGAAAUGGUCAAUUGACCCCCUUAGGAGUUAUUGUUCUUUAUAGUCAAUUUUUAACAAUUUUUAUAAAAUUUGUAAAUUUUUACUAACAUUUUCCACUGAAACUAAUGGGCCAAGUUCAUUAUAGAUAGAGAUAAUUUUAAGCAGCAAGAAUGUUCAGUAAAGUAAGAUGUACAAACACAUCACCAUCACCAAAACACAAUUUUGUCAUGAAUCCAUCUGCUUCCUUUAAUAUUCACAUAGACCAAGGUGAGCGACACAGGCUCUUAAGAGCCUCUAGUUUUUU